UGUACCAUGCUGGUAGCCAGUG
rnacentral:miRNA from 11 species